UGAGAAUGAACUCCCGAGUACACUGCUUGCAGCCCGUGACUGGAAUGUUAAUUUCGUCCUGCGUCCCCGGCUGGCUCCCUUCAACGGUACUGGGCUCUCGCAUUUCUGACAUUUUUCGUUUUGUAAAAAUGAAUACCUGCCUUAGAAAGCCUGAUGAACGCAGAGAUACUUUACAUGCAAACACACACACACACACACACACACACACACACACACACACACACAAAUGCUGUUCCCAUUUCCCCCUGUCUUUCAUCUGACAAAGCGGGUAGUGACUGCGAGCUCAGAAUUGGCUGGCGGAGGUGUCUGCUGGUGUGUGGGCUCCAUUUCUGGGGCUUUAUCAAGCCCUGUCUCCGAUUUUCCCAUUUCAGACAAUCUUCCUUUGAAGACGUGGAUGACAUAGUAAAACCGAUUGCACUUGAGAGCCGAUUCCAUGACUAUUUUGCUGCAACAGCGCAUUCUGCAAAUUUCAGCUGCUUCACUAGCUUCUCCUGUUUGUUGCUGAACCGAUUAUCCUGUUCUGCACUUGUUCCGCGGAAGAAUCCCGAGUCCCAUCUUCUGCCUCGCUCGGACCUGAUAUUUGUUCUUUAUUCUCCUAAAGCGGAAAGGAAUGGCACCUUUCUGCAUUUCCUGAAAGGCACCCACCCACUACCUGGGAGAACUGGCCCCUGACUUUAGUGAUGAGCUUUUCUUUCUGGAAGAUGAGGAAGCAACCAAGGUCACGAUCGCCGCCCGUGUCACCUUCCCAUCUUCCUGGAGGGACGACCAUCCCUUCCGUUGGGUACCGCCUCGUGUCCCUGCCAUUUCGUUGUGUAGCAUUAAAACUAGGUCAACUUGUCCUUUUAUUAAGUUCUUCCCAAAUAUAGCAGCGUCAAUUCCAGAAUGGUUUUCUGGGGG
rnacentral:lncRNA from 1 species